rnacentral:lncRNA from 1 species
CGGGCAGUGCCCGGCGGAGCGGAGCGUGCUGCAGGGUGCCCGGAGCCAGGGGGUCUUUGUUCUGCACGUAUGCACCGAAGUGUAGAUAAUGGGUCCUCGAUGAAGAGAUUUGACCAAGUAAGGAGUUCUGUCUGUCAGACGAAGACUUGCCAGCGUUUGUGGUGAAAUAAUCUGCUCUGUUUGGAGACUGCGGGAAAAAUCCUUUCCGUACAGCUGAGAAUUUCUCACUUCAAAGCAUCGCACAAUUGACCUGCAGAAUGAAAUGACCGUGGCUGUUAGCAGUUGCAGUGCUCCUUUACACCUGGUGACCCCUGUUUCCAUGUGCCCAGCUCCCAGAAGGAGCCAUGGCCAGGUCAGACCUGAUGGUGGGA